rnacentral:rRNA from 1 species
AUACGUAGGUGCCAAGCGUUAUCCGGAUUUACUGGGCGUAAAGGGCGUGUAGGCGGUCUUGCAAGUCAGAAGUGAAAUUCCUGAGCUCAACUCGGGCGCUGCUUCUGAAACUGCAGGACUUGAGUGCUGGAGGGGAUAGCGGAAUUCCUAGUGGAGCGGUAAAGUGCGCAGAUAUUAGGAAGAACACCGGUGGCGAAGGCGGCUAUCUGGACAGUAACUGACACUGAGGCCCUAAACCGUGGGGAGCAAACAGGAUUUCGUACCCGGGGGGCCCACGGCGUAAACGAUGAAUACUAAGUUGAGGGGGUAUCGAGUCCCUCUGUGCCGCAGUUAACACAAUAAGGAAUCCGCCUGGGGAGUACGGCCGCAAGGUUGAAACUCAAAUGAAUUGACGGGG